rnacentral:rRNA from 1 species
GAUGAACGCUGGCGGCGUGCUUAACACAUGCAAGUCGAACGAAGCACUUUAUUUGAUUUCCUUCGGGACUGAUUAUUUUGUGACUGAGUGGCGGACGGGUGAGUAACGCGUGGGUAACCUGCCUUGUACAGGGGGAUAACAGUUGGAAACGGCUGCUAAUACCGCAUAAGCGCACAGCAUCGCAUGAUGCAGUGUGAAAAACUCCGGUGGUAUAAGAUGGACCCGCGUUGGAUUAGCUAGUUGGUGAGGUAACGGCCCACCAAGGCGACGAUCCAUAGCCGACCUGGGAGGGUGACCGGCCACAUUGGGACUGAGACACGGCCCAAACUCCUACGGGAGGCAGCAGUGGGGAAUAUUGCACAAUGGGCGAAAGCCUGAUGCAGCGACGCCGCGUGAGCGAAGAAGUAUUUCGGUAUGUAAAGCUCUAUCAGCAGGGAAGAUAAUGACGGUACCUGACGAAGAAGCACCGGCUAAAUACGUG